rnacentral:rRNA from 1 species
GAUGAACGCUGGCGGCGUGCCUAAUACAUGCAAGUCGAGCGAACGGACGAGAAGCUUGCUUCUCUGAUGUUAGCGGCGGACGGGUGAGUAACACGUGGAUAACCUACCUAUAAGACUGGGAUAACUUCGGGAAACCGGAGCUAAUACCGGAUGAUAUUUUGAACCGCAUGGGUCAAAAGUGAAAGACGGUCUUGCUGUCACUUAUAGAUGGAUCCGCGCUGCAUUAGCUAGUUGGUAAGGUAACGGCUUACCAAGGCAACGAUGCAUAGCCGACCUGAGAGGGUGAUCGGCCACACUGGAACUGAGACACGGUCCAGACUCCUACGGGAGGCAGCAGUAGGGAAUCUUCCGCAAUGGGCGAAAGCCUGACGGAGCAACGCCGCGUGAGUGAUGAAGGUCUUCGGAUCGUAAAACUCUGUUAUUAGGGAAGAACAUAUGUGUAAGUAACUGUGCACAUCUUGACGGUACCUAAUCAGAAAGCCACGGCUAACUACGUG